rnacentral:rRNA from 1 species
GAUGAACGCUGGCGGCGUGCCUAAUACAUGCAAGUCGAGCGAACGGACGAGAAGCUUGCUUCUCUGAGGUUAGCGGCGGACGGGCGAGUAACACGUGGAUAACCUACCUAUAAGACUGGGAGAACUUCGGGAAACCGGAUCUAAUACCAGAUAAUAUUUUGUACCGCAUGGUGCAAAAGUGAAAGACGGUCUUGCUGUCACUUAGAGAUGGAUCCGCGCUGCAUUAGCUAGUUGGUAAGGUAACGGCUUACCAAGGCAACGAUGCAUAGCCGACCUGAGAGGGUGAUCGGCCACACUGGAACUGAGACACGGUCCAGACUCCUACGGGAGGCAGCAGUAGGGAAUCUUCCGCAAUGGGCGAAAGCCUGACGGAGCAACGCCGCGUGAGUGAUGAAGGUCUUCGGAUCGUAAAACUCUGUUAUUAGGGAAGAACAUAUGUGUAAGUAACUGUGCACAUCUUGACGGUACCUAAUCAGAAAGCCACGGCUAACUACGUG